rnacentral:rRNA from 1 species
AUUGAACGCUGGCGGCAGGCCUAACACAUGCAAGUCGAACGAGUGGCGGACGGGUGAGUAAUGUCUGGGAAACUGCCCGAUGGAGGGGGAUAACUACUGGAACAGGUAGCUAAUACCGCAUACCAUCGGAUUUGCCCAGAUGGGGUUAGCUGGUAGGUGAGGUAACGGCUCACCUAGGCGACGAUACCUAGCUGGUCUGGGAGGAUGACCAGCCACACUGGAACUGAGAAAAGGUCCAGAGUCCUAUGUGAGGUAGCAGUGGGGAAUAUUGCAAAAUGGGCGCAAGCCUGAUGCAGCCAUGCCGCGGGUAUGAAGAAGGCCUUCGGGUUGUAAAGUACUUUCAGCGGGGAGGCGUUACCCGCAGAAGAAGCACCGGCUAACUCCGUGCCAGCAGCCGCGGUAAUUC